UGUUGGAGAUUCGUUCACAUGCGCUGCACUAAAAUGGAACUGGCAGUCUCUCUCCAGAGAUGCUAUGCUCUUCAAAGUCUUACAAGCACAAUUCGGUAGCAGAGACUUGUACGUUCAAGAAGAGUCCAUCUUCUCAAUAAUUUUUACACAGAUCUUCAGUGAUUCUGCUAAGUGUAACCAGAUUAAAAAGGCGUUCGCUAACCUUUAAGGUGCAGGAGCUACUUUGACACCUUAAUUGUCAUUAAGGCCAUGUGAAUGCUGCCAUAGAAGAGAGAUAUACCCUGUUUUCAACUCUUUUCCUCUGUCCUCUAGCAUGGCAUUGAAGGAAAAGGUAGAUUUUUUUGACCUAGUGUUAUAUGGCGCAAACAGCUUAAAAAUUCUUCCAAGUUGUCUGGAGAGCUUGUACAUUCUGCAGUA